rnacentral:lncRNA from 1 species
GUGAAUCUAAGAAGACAACAGAGUAGCCAAUCGAAGAGUUUCCAGAUAUGGACUUUUGGCUGGUGUUGGAGACCAGGAAACCUCGGUGCUCCCAGUCCUGGCACACUGUGCUGGUUCUGAUUUGCUUAGCAGAACACGAUGGUAUCACCAACGCAAGGUCCAAGAGUCCUGGAAGAUGAUCUUGAUGCCUGUAUCCACUGCAUGGCCCCUUCCUGUCUGACGCUGUUUACCUCCUCCACUUCCCGGCCAACAUAAGUGCAGCAGCUUUCAUCUAGCAGACACUUCCUCCACGGUACUUCUGCGCUGGAGGCAGCCAACUGUGAGCCCAAUAAACCCUAUCUUCCUUUACUUUGUGGCUGUUGAGUAUUUUGUCCCAGCAUAGGGGAGGCUAACUAAUGCAGAUAACUGGUACCAGAGAAGUGGGUCCUUGCUGUGACUUUAUCUGACCAUGUGCUUUAGAAUAUUUUGCAACUAAUUUGCAAG